GACGAACGCUGGCGGCGUGCUUAACACAUGCAAGUCGAACGGAAAGGCCCUGCUUGCGGGGUACUCGCGUGGCGAACGGGGGAGUAACACGUGGGUGUUCUGUGCUGCACUUCGGGGUAAGCCUGCGAAAAUGGGUCUAAUACAGGAUAGGAGACAUUUUUCGUGUGGUGGGUGGAAAGUAUUUUCGGUGUAGGAUGAGCUCGCGGGCUGUCAGCUUGCUGGUGGGGUAAUGGCCUACCAAGGCGGCGACGGGUAGGCGGCCUGGGAGGGUGGACGGCCACAAUUGGGCUUGGGAACGGGCCAGACUCCUACGGGGGGCAACAGUGGGGGAUAAUUGACAAUUGGGCGAAGCCUGAAUCAGCCACGGCGCGUUGGGGAAGGCGGCCUUCGGGUUUGUAACCCCUUUCGCUAUGGACGGAACUGUUUGUGACGGUACUUAGUUAAGAAGCACCGGCUAACUACGUG
rnacentral:rRNA from 1 species